GCGGGUGUAGCUCAGAGGCAGAGCGACUGGCUUCCAACCAGUAGGCCGGGGUUUCGAAAUCCCUCACCCGCUCCA
rnacentral:tRNA from 1 species